rnacentral:rRNA from 1 species
GAUGAACGCUAGCUACAGGCUUAACACAUGCAAGUCGAGGGGAAACGGCAUCGAAAGCUUGCUUUUGAUGGGCGUCGACCGGCGCACGGGUGAGUAACGCGUAUCCAACCUGCCCACCACUUGGGAAUAACCUUGCGAAAGUAAGACUAAUGCCCAAUGACAUCCCACGAAGGCAUCCGAAUGGGAUUAAAGAUUUAUCGGUGAUGGAUGGGGAUGCGUCUGAUUAGCUUGUUGGCGGGGUGACGGCCCACCAAGGCAACGAUCAGUAGGGGUUCUGAGAGGAAGGGCCCCCACAUUGGAACGGAGACACGGUCCAAACGCCUACGGGAGGCAGCAGUGAGGAAGAUUGGUCAAUGGGUGAGAGCCUGAACCAGCCAAGUAGCGUGCAGGAUGACGGCCCUAUGGGUUGUAAACUGCUUUUAUAAGGGAAUAAAGUGGGUCACGUGUGACUUUUUGCACGUACCUUAUGAAUAAGGACCGGCUAAUUCCGU